CAGAACCAGAGGCAGGAGAGGUGUCCCCUCCAGUCGGUGCUGGUGUCAACAGCAACAGCUGGACCUUUAAAUAUGGACCAGGCAACCCCAAACAAUCUGGUCCCGAACCUAAAAAGCAGACCCAAGUUUCCUUUCUCCUCCGCCGCAAAGGAGAGACUUCCCAGUCCUGCCAGUGAGAGUUGGACUCUCUGCCCUGUGCUCCGGGGAUCCUGUCUUGAUGACACUUGCAGGGCAGGCUGAAAGGUUUUCAGAUUGAGCAGCUUGGGUGUUUGUGGCCAUUGGGUAUGUGUGGCCACAGCAAAUGUUGGAGAGCCAGAUGUUGUCUGGGAUGGACCAGAUUAGACUAGCUGGCACAAGAAGGAUUGAGAAACACAGGCAAAUAGACAGCAGGAGUCACCAGUAUGGAGGGGAAAUAUGAAACUAAAAGGGACCAGACUUUCUAAACCUUACAACUCAAGAGGUGGUGGUCACCAUCUAGCAGACAAAACUACCCCACUGACAAGGCUUUAGGAGUCCCUAAAGUCUGUUGGCUGUGGUAUAAUUAUACCUAAAGCCCACAUUGCACCUACAAGCCAACAGUUCAGUGUUUAGCAGAGGGCCAGCCAGGGCAACAGAAGCAGAUCUGACGCAUUUCCUGUACUUGUCCUUGUGCUCACUUUAUUAAAAAUUCUUUUGCACACAAUAUGAAAAGGCAAAGUCCUUUUCCAUCAACACAUAUGCAAAAGCAAAAGAAAACCCCAAACACCUCACUUUAUGCUGUUUGUUUGAUAGAUUUAUUUAAAAAAAGAGAAACUCUAUAGCUAUAAAUCUUUAAAGAGAGAUAUGAUGAAUACAAUUCCCCUACACUUCCUUCAAAAGAGAAUUCAGUCUACAGCCAUUGAAAUGGUCAUUGCUGCUACAGAAGUGCUUUAAGAGAAUUGCCUGGAACAUCUGUAUUAUACCGGCCACCUGCCAAUCACAGCUUUACUCUUUCAGGUCACUCUGGGGCUGCCUCUUGCAUGUAUUAAUUACUGAAUAAAAGAAUCUUUCUCUCUCUCUCUCUUUUCUAAGAAAAAAAAUGAUGUGCACUUUGAAUACACGACAUUCUCUAACCAAUUAUAUCAAGACCCAGAAAUUGAAGAAAAAUAUUGUUUUCUCAUACAUACAGUGAGCAGACUUUUCAAUCCUCUAAUUCUGUGACUUGUCUUGGUGUGCUAGCCUACACCUUCUCUUUGGUUUAGUUUUCUUUUUCUAUAACAAAACUGAAAUGCUAAUCUUGCUAACACCUAUGAUGUUACCUGAAAUCAAUCUCCCAUAUGUAUGCUGUAUGCUAUUAUAAGACUCCUGAAAUAUACUUACUCUGUGCUUGUGUAUGUGAAUGUUAAUGCAACUAUUACCUAGAGUGAACUUUAAGCUUUAUUGUUGAAUGUAAUCCCAUUAUAUUUCCUUUUGUACACCUGUGGAAAAGUGGAGUAGUGUUUUUUUAACCAUUGUUAAUCAGCUUUUGUGUAUGAAAGACACAGUAAAAUUUCUUUCUUAAAUCAAGAUACUGGUGAUUCAAGGAAUUUUAUUUAUGGUCAGCCAAGAGCUGUCUCUUGCCAAGACUCCUGCUGGCAAGGGAAUGAAUAGAGCUGUUUUUUCUAGUAACAGUUCUGGAAUGAAUACUGAAGAUAUUCCCUGAGGGUGUGCAAGCACAAAUUUUACCAAUCUGAUCUCCUUGAAGUUGCAGAAUGCUUUGAAGUUCUAAUGCUACUGGAAUAUCAGCUCAUUGAAAAUAAUAAAUUUUGCUGUCACCUUAAAUAAGACAUUUUAAUUUUGUUAUGCACAAUUUAGAAGUUUGAUUAGUUAUAUUAUCUAUUAAAACAUUAAUAUAAAAGAUAAAGGAGUCUGUUAUAAAAAGGCAUUAAAUCUCAAAAAAAGUGUCUUGUCUACUUUUAGCUUCAUUCUCCCAUAUUUUCAAGGGUGUGUAACUUCAGCUUUGCAGGAUUGCACGGGGUAAAACUUGUUGCCAACACAUGUGAACCAUUGCUACAUUGUAGGUUGUGAUCAUUUUGCCCCUCUGAAGCCCAUGUAACUGACCUUACGUGCCUUUUGAACUAGGAGAAUCGGGCUAAUUUAUUAAUGAUGAUAAUUACUAUGUAUCUGUAUAGCACUUUUUAAAUUUGUGAAGUGCUCUCCAAUCCAUGUUAGUUACUAGUUAUUACAGCUGUAAGGAUAAAACACAUCCAUGUGGAUUCAUUUUUAAUUGGUGCUAUUGGUAUUUCCUCUGUUAUUGCUAAUAAAUGGAAAAUGGUGGUAUGAAA